rnacentral:lncRNA from 1 species
CACCCUCUCGGUGCCAGCUCACAGCUGAAGGGUCUGCUCCUCGCUGUCGCUGUCACUGCCUUCCAGCUGCUCCAGGAUCUCGUCCAACACCACAGACCGCUUUUUCUUCGGGGGCUCGUGAAAGUGAGCGGCCGUCUUCCGCCGCAGGGCCUGCAGGGUCACCUCGGAGUCGGCCCACUCCAGCACCAGCCUCCGCCCGUACAAGUGGGUGCUGUGACACAGGGCGUUGAAGGCUC